GCUUCACCCAGAGCAGGGCAGUGAAAAAUGGUCAAGCACAAAU
rnacentral:snoRNA from 1 species